rnacentral:rRNA from 1 species
UACGAAGGGGGGCUAGCGUUGCUCGGAAUCACUGGGCGUAAAGCGCACGUAGGCGGAUUGCUAAGUCAGGGGUGAAAUCCUGGAGCUCAACUCCGGAACUGCCUUUAAGACUGCAUCGCUUGAAUCAUGGAGAGGUCAGUGGAAUUCCGAGUGUAGAGGUGAAAUUCGUAGAUAUUCGGAAGAACACCAGUGGCGAAGGCGACUGACUGGACAUGUAUUGACGCUGAGGUGCGAAAAGCGUGGGGAGCAAACAGG